ACACCACUCUCUCUCAUUCACUCAUCUGAUUUUUGAAGACCUCUCAAAGUGUUCUCUCCAUUUUUCAACCCCAAGAACACCAAGGAAACUUUGAGGCUAAGUCUUGGUCUAGGAAGUAUUUUCCCUAAGUUUGUUAGGGUUUUUGAAAGGUUUUGAAGGAGUCAAAGCUUAUAGGAAGGUCCAAACCUUAAGCAAGAACACCAAAGAGGUAAGUGCAAGGGCAAGGCAGAGCAGUGAACGCUGGAGUCUUCCUUGAAAAUGUACAUGUGGACCGACCUUUUGGGAAGCCUUUUUAUUUUUGGAAAUGUUGUGUAAUUUUCCUAAACUAGGCUCACUCUAAUCUUUAUAAAACAUGUUUGUAACUAAAUGUUAAGUAUGGCCAUACGACUUUUUAAAAAGUUUUUUUUUCUAUGGGUUUUUGAGACAUUUGUUAAAUGAAAACAUUUAUAUUUCCGCAUUAUCGAGUCUUGAAAAUCCGGGUCGUUACAGUUGGUAUCAGAGCUCGAGUUGAGCCGGUUCUGUAGAUAACCCACAUGUACAUUUCACAAAGAUAGACCGACACUCACUAUCAGUACUGUUUCUUCCUUUAGUGUGUUGUUUUCUUUUUAUUCACCUCAAUUCUAUAAAUUGUAGGUUAUGGUCGAUAUACCUGAGAUAGGUGACCCUGUGAUAGGAAAACUACCCAUGAUCCCUUCGCCUAGAAUCAAUUUUCUAUAGACUCUUUAACGAUGAGAAUUCCUUGCCACUUCGAGUACGAAUGACGACAUUGGCGUGCCAUUUGGCAAUGUACGCAGUACAUGAUGGAAGUCUUCAGUAAAGCAAGAUGAGGAUCUCGAGCAGUCUGACGAGGAUACCGACAUAGAGCUGGAUAUGUUGAUGGACAACUUAGAUUAGGUUAUGCUGUGAGGGUCUUGUUGAUACUUUUUGUAAAGACCUUGCAAACCUACUAGGUUGUAGGACUUUGGUGUAGUUGUAGCUGAGAACCCGCCAAUGGAGGAAGUGGCUAAUGAAGAACUUGGUGAUGGGUAAAUUUCUUAUGAGGAGCCGAUGGACCAAGAUGAGGAAGAUCGCGAAGAAGAUUCCAAGGAAGAUCCUAAGGAAGAUCCCGAGGAGGAUCCUGAGGAUGGUUCUAAUAUGGCAGCGGAAAGUGACACCGGCUAGGUGUUAGGAGCUGCAUAGGUGUUAGAAACCCACCUACUUUUGAAAUAUGUACCUACCUUGUAUAUGAUUAAGGAAAUUAGUAACUGGUCUAGCAGGGAUAUAAGUCCAUUUUUUUUAGGGCUAAUUUUGUAAAUCCCUUAGACUUGCCGACCCAAACUUAAAACGUUGUUGUAUAUGGUAUAGGUUAUGACA